UGGAAAUCAGUAUGGAGUUUCCUUAAAAAACUACAAAUAGAGCUCCCAUUUGAUCCAGUUACCUCAUUCCAUGGUAUAAACCCAAAGCAAUUAAAGCCAGAACACUAUAAAUAUAUCUGCAUACCCAUUUUAUUCAACAGAGCCAAGAUAUGGAACCAGCCUAGAUUCCCAUCAACAGAUGAAUGUAUAAAGAUAAUAUGGUAUAUAUAUACAAUACAGCAUUAUUUAACCAUACGGAAGAAUGAAAUUCUGUCAUUUACAGAAAAACACAUGGAUCAUCUGGUGGUGACCAUCAUGUUGAGCAACAUAAUCCAGAUUCAUAAAGAAAUAUAUUGAACUUGGUUCUUCUGUUUCCAUGGUGAGGGGUGAAGGAGUAUGAGAUGAACUGUUAUCCCUGCUCAUCCUAACUUUCCUGCCAUUUUUGCGUGAGGACUAGAUCCAGGUAUUGCAAUAGAUGCUUUGUAACCAGAUGAUUUGUCACUCUGUUUGAUUCUGGAUGACUAUCCAUACAGGGCAGAGGAAUUUCUCAUUUAAUAGAUAACAAACCCAAGGCCCAAUAAAGCAAGUGAGUGGCCCAAAGUCACACCGCUAGGAAGUGGCACUGGAGAGGCUCAGCCUGUGGUUUUGUGCUCAUGGCAUCUGGUAGCCUUGUCUUCAUAACUAGAUGACUUAGAUAACAGAAAUUCAUUGCUCAAUCAAUUCUGGAACUGGAAGUCUAAAAUCUGUGUUGGUAGGCUUGACUCCUUCUGGGGCAGUGAAGGAAGGUGUGUGUAGGACCCUCUCCUGGGUCGUCCUUGUGCUAGUUUGCUGACAAUCAUCACUGCUCAUGGCCUGCAGAUGCAUCACCCUGGUCUCUGCUCCCAUGUUCACACAGCAGGCUCCCUUCGUGUCUGUCUGCCUCUGUGUGCCAGCGUCCUAUUUUUACAUGGACACAGUCAUAUCAGAUUAAUGCUCACUCUAAUAACUCACCUUAACCCGAUCACUGUCGAAGAGCCUCUUUCCAAAUAAGCUCCAAUUCACAGACCCAGGGAAUAAGGACUUAAACAUUUUUAGGGAGAUGUAUUUCAACUUAUCUCACUGUCAGAGCUCCAGUCCUUACCUUAAUGUCAAGAGAAAGACCAUGGUUUGCAGAUGUGUAUUGGCUUGCCCCAUUAAUCCUAGACUUCGAGAUUAAUACCAGUACCCAAGCCCUGGGCAGAGGGAUUUAAAAAAAACAACUUGUGUUUCCUCUUUCUGCCUUUUCACUCUGUUUCUUAUCACUCCAUCCAGACAGCUGUCAGCUUCCUCAGAUCCUGGAAGAAGGAAGUUGUCAAAUCCCCCUGAUCUGUUGCUGCCCUGCCUCUGCUUUGUGACCCACAUCCUGCCUGGGCUCCGCCGGCUGCAGAGAUCUCCAGCUCCCACUGGCCUAGUCCUGGAGCAGGGUGUGGGCUUCAGGGCAUUAAUGGGUUUUCCUAGGGAAAAAGCAGCAUCUGGGAACAGCCCAGAAGUCACCUAACCCUGCUGCUGCCACUUGACUUGCUUCUCUCUCACUAUUCUGGAGGAAGGCUUAUCAACAGAAAUAAACCCUACCAUGUUUUCUAUAAAGGCUGCCAGCCAGGCCCUCUUCGAAGGACUUUAUAUAUAAGAUCUCACUUUAUUGUUAUCAUCAUUAAUUAACGUUUGCACAGUGUUUUGUGGUUUGCAAGGCAUUCUGUCAUCUACCUUUGCCAUGUCGCUUUGAGAGAUGAGAGUAGCUUAUUUGUACUUUUGUCAGCUUGGUGUCACCACAUAUGUGAGGUAGGCAUUGCGUACUAAGUUCACAGACAUGCAAGGGCUUCUGUAUGGGAGCACCUCAGAGCCCUCCUCUAGAGGAGGUUUUUAGUCUCACCUAGAAAGGUGGAUUUUUGAAACUUUUCUCCCCCUAAGGCACAUUGGAAGCAGCUCAGAGGUACCACCCUGGAUCCUGAAAUUCACAUACACACAGGUAAGCCUUGUGAUCUCAGUUUGGGACCAGCCCAAGGGAAGACUAAGGAACUCCAGGAACCCAGUGCAGAUGCAAUCCCUAGCUGGAGUUUCUUCUCUAAGUCUCUGCUACCUAUUCCUCUUUGAGAAAUUCAGGGCUGGACACACAGAAUGAUGAUGGUCUGUGUUCAUGUAUUCGUAAUUGAUUGCUGCAUGACGAAUGCCCCUGACUUAGCAGCUUAAAGCAACACACAUAUAUAUCUCAUAGCUUCUGUGGGGCAGAAGUCCAGAUGAGAUUUAACUGGGUGGCUCUGGCUUUAAGGUCUCUCAUGAGGUUGCUGUCAAAUUGUCAGCUGGUGCUGAAGUUCUCUGGGGCUGUGGAGUUUGCUUCCAGGCUUUUUCUUUGGAUGGGGUGGGUAGCAGGACUUCAUUUCACACUGGGUAAUGACUGAUUCAUCAGUACACAGGCUACUCCACUGGCUUCUUGAAUGUCCUCACAGCUUGGCAGCUGGUUUACUCUGGAGUAAGUGAGUUGAGCGAGAAUCGUAGACAGAAGCUGGCUGUUUGGCACUCAGUUAUGUGAGGGGUGAGGGGAGAAAAAGAGCUCGGAAUUUGGAGGCUAGAUUGAGGAUAAAUGAGAAAAGGCACCAGAUGCAAAGUGACUUCAACCCAGCUACCCACAGAAUCUGGCUUGGCAGCAGCACCACCAGCAGCUGCCACCACCCCAUGCUGAAAGGGUAAAGCAACCCUCAAGGACACCUGUGUGUAGGGCAACCUUGACUCAGUAGCCAUCUGACUGUGUCUUGAACAGGUGGCCUUCCACACUCUGAGCCAAGAACACAUU
ensembl:lncRNA